rnacentral:rRNA from 1 species
GAUGAACGCUGGCGGCGUGCCUAAUACAUGCAAGUCGAGCGAACGGACGAGAAGCUUGCUUCACUGAUGUUAGCGGCGGACGGGUGAGUAACACGUGGAUAACCUACCUAUAAGACUGGGAUAACUUCGGGAAACCGGAGCUAAUACCGGAUAAUAUUUUGAACCGCAUGGUUCAAAAGUGAAAGACGGUCUUGCUGUCACUUAUAGAUGGAUCCGCGCUGCAUUAGCUAGUUGGUAAGGUAACGGCUUACCAAGGCAACGAUGCAUAGCCGACCUGAGAGGGUGUUCGGCCACACUGGAACUGAGACACGGUCCUGACUCUUACGGGAGGCAGCAGUAGGGAAUCUUCCGCACUGGGCGAAAUCCUGACGGAGCAACGCCGCGCGAGUGAUGAAGGUCUUCGUAUCGUAUAACUCUGUUAUUAGUGAAGAACAUAUGUGUAAGUAACUGUGCACAUCUUGACGGUACCUAAUCAGAAAGCCACGGCUAACUACGUG